rnacentral:rRNA from 1 species
UACGUAGGGGGGCAAGCGUUGUCCGGAAUCAUUGGGCGUAAAGAGCGUGUAGGCGGCUCGAUAAGUCCGCUGUGAAAGUCCAGGGCUCAACCCUGGAAGGCCGGUGGAAACUGUCGGGCUAGAGUCCGGAAGAGGCGAGUGGAAUUCCCGGUGUAGCGGUGAAAUGCGCAGAUAUCAGGAGGAACACCGGUGGCGAAGGCGGGUCUCUGGGCCGAUACUGACGCUGAGGAGCGAAAGCGUGGGGGAGCGAACAGG